AGAGUUUGAUCCUGGCUCAGGACGAACGCUGGCGGCGUGCUUAACACAUGCAAGUCGAGCGGUAAGGCCCUUCGGGGUACACGAGCGGCGAACGGGUGAGUAACACGUGGGUGAUCUGCCUCGUACUUCGGGAUAAGCCUGGGAAACUGGGUCUAAUACCGGAUAUGACCUUCGGAUGCAUGUCUGAGGGUGGAAAGAUUUAUCGGUACGAGAUGGGCCCGCGGCCUAUCAGCUUGUUGGUGGGGUAAUGGCCUACCAAGGCGACGACGGGUAGCCGGCCUGAGAGGGCGACCGGCCACACUGGGACUGAGACACGGCCCAGACUCCUACGGGAGGCAGCAGUGGGGAAUAUUGCACAAUGGGCGAAAGCCUGAUGCAGCGACGCCGCGUGAGGGAUGACGGCCUUCGGGUUGUAAACCUCUUUCGACAGGGACGAAGCGCAAGUGACGGUACCUGUAGAAGAAGCACCGGCCAACUACGUGCCAGCAGCCGCGGUAAUACGUAGGGUGCGAGCGUUGUCCGGAAUUACUGGGCGUAAAGAGCUUGUAGGCGGUUCGUCGCGUCGUUCGUGAAAACUUGGGGCUCAACCCCAAGCUUGCGGGCGAUACGGGCGGACUAGAGUACUUCAGGGGAGACUGGAAUUCCUGGUGUAGCGGUGAAAUGCGCAGAUAUCAGGAGGAACACCGGUGGCGAAGGCGGGUCUCUGGGAAGUAACUGACGCUGAGAAGCGAAAGCGUGGGUAGCGAACAGGAUUAGAUACCCUGGUAGUCCACGCCGUAAACGG
rnacentral:rRNA from 1 species